CUUACAUAAGAAGACACAAGAGUCUCACCAUUUCUUGCAUUUGUUUCCAGCAGGGUCUACAGUAGGCAGAAUAAUGUCCCCUUAAAGAAGGCUGCAUCCUAAAUCCCUGAAACCUGUGGAUAUAUUAUGUUACAAGGUAAAAGAUGUUGAGGAAAAUCCAUCUUUCCUGUGAAGAACCAUUCUUAAGUCAUCCCAGACUCUUGGUAGAAGAUUGCCUGGACUCUCUGACAGUACAUGUUGCGGAUUUCUCCUGAUGUGUGAAAAUUUUCACAGCUGUAUGCAAGACACAUUCAUCUAACUAAAGAGGUUUAUUUAAUCCCUAUUGGACUAAAGUGAGGAGAAAGGAAAAUAGAAACUCGAUUUUCCCUGCUCUGUGAGAACAAGACUGAGAAUUCUAUAGUAUCACUUGCUCUAGAGAGAAAGACCAGGUAAUUCAUAUAUCCAUGAGAGUUCCUGCUAAAGCUGAUAUUUAAAGAUGGAAAAAAAAUAAUUGUAGUGGUACACUUAAAACAACUUAUAACUUUAAUUUUUAGAUGUACUAACCGAUAAGUAGUAUGUUGAAUAAAUAUGAUGCUAAGCUGAUUACUCUAUUAGA